CAGUCGCCGCGGUAAUACGGAGGGUGCAAGCGUUAAUCGGAAUUACUGGGCGUAAAGCGCACGCAGGCGGUCUGUCAAGUCAGAUGUGAAAUCCCCGGGCCUAACCUGGGAACUGCAUUUGAAACUGGCAGGCUAGAGUCUUGUAGAGGGGGGUAGAAUUCCAGGUGUAGCGGUGAAAUGCGUAGAGAUCUGGAGGAAUACCGGUGGCGAAGGCGGCCCCCUGGACAAAGACUGACGCUCAGGUGCGAAAGCGUGGGGAGCAAACAGGAUUAGAUACCCCGGUAGUCCCUGUCUCUUAUAC
rnacentral:rRNA from 1 species